AUACGGAGGGGGCUAGCGUUGUUCGGAAUUACUGGGCGUAAAGCGUACGUAGGCGGACUGAUCAGUUGGGGGUGAAAUCCCAGGGCUUAACCCUGGAACUGCCUUCAAUACUGUCAGUCUUGAGAUUGGAAGAGGUGAGUGGAAUUCCUAGUGUAGAGGUGAAAUUCAUAGAUAUUAGGAGGAACACCAGUAGCGAAGGCGGCUCACUGGUCCAAUACUGACGCUGAGGUACGAAAGCGUGGGGAGCAAACAGGAUUAGAUACCCUAGUAGUCC
rnacentral:rRNA from 1 species